AGUGGCUGGUGCAUCGCACAGGCAAACGAAGCAAGCAGGGGCAGUGCAAGGAAGAGAUACAGUGUUACCUGGCUUACUACAACUCCAUGCAGUCUAGAAGUUCUCUUGUUUCUUCAAUUUUUGAUAGAAAAGAGAAGUGCUGAACAAUAACCAAUUAAGAUGAGACAACACUUUCUGGUUCGAGCUUCACGGAUGAGGUUACUUCCUGUUCCAGCACCAUGGAUGACGCCACUUCCAGUCCCAGGCCCAAUUUCAUCACUUCAAUUUUUGGGCUUAUUGAUGACAUCAUUUCCAGCUCUGGCCCCAAUGACACUAUUUCUAGUUCCAGCCCUACUGAUGACAUCACUUCCUCCACUCUCCCUUAAAGCCGCCAUCUUUGUCACAAGCAAAUCAGUUCUUGUUCUAGACUCCAACCUGUACACUUCUGUACAAUUAUUCAUUUCGUUUUGCAGCCAGGAAAUAUUAUAAGAGUGGCUGCCCCAAACAUUUUGUGGCUUUUGUGCUGUUUGUGACAGCAUCUAUCUAUGAAUAAAAACAAUUCUUGUACAGCUUAAAAUCACACAAGGAAUACCUUAAUGGGCUUUAACAGGCCCUGAUAAAUGUUACAGCAACCUUGACCUCCUAAGAAGACAAGAAAAACACAAAAAAGACCCUCUUCCAGGUAAAUUGGGAGUGCAAUGGGUGUCAAAAUGAGGUAAAUAUAAUACACAGAACAGAAUACAAGUAAUCUUUCUCACAGAGCUAGAUCUGUCAUGGCCACCUCAGAAAUGC